rnacentral:rRNA from 1 species
GACGAACGCUGGCGGCGUGCUUAACACAUGCAAGUCGAACGGAAACGCCCUGCUUGCGUGGGGUGCUCGAGUGGCGAACGGGUGCGUAACACGUGAGUAACCUGCUCUUGACUUUGGGAUAACUUCAGGAAACUGGGGCUAAUACCGGACAGGAGCUCCUGCUGCAUGGUGGGGGUUGGAAAGUUUCGGCGGUUGGGGAUGGACGCGCGGCUUAUCAGCUUGUUGGUGGGGUAGUGGCUUACCAAGGCUUUGACGGGUAGCCGGCACGGGAGGGUGACCGGCCACAUGAGGACUGAGAUACGGCGCAGAGUGCUAUGGUAGGCAACAGUGGGGAGUAUUGCACAGUGAGAGGGAGCCUGAGACAGCAGCGCCGCGGGCGGGAUGACGGCCUUCGGGGUGUGAACCGCAUUCGCCUGAGACGAAGCGUGAGUGACGGUAACGGGUGAAGAAGCACCGGCUAACUACGUG